UUGUAUUAAAAACUUAAAACUGAUGCAAUCUCAAGAAAAUUCCUCAAGAUAGUCAAGUUCUGAUCUAU